CUUAUUCCUCUGCUUGAUUUCAUACAAUGUGGAGAGUGAGAGAGCCUCCAGAGGGUUUUCUGACUUGAAGACAAGCACAUUGCAGUUGAGCUGAGAAAAACGGCUUUAGGCCAUCUUCUCUGAUGUGUCCAAUGUUCAGCUUUGCCCAUCACUUGGUUGUCUAAUGGUUAUACAGAGACCUGAAGAGCUAUACAAUCAAAAAUGUCUUGCACACACUGUGAAUUUUGGUGGAGGAUGAUUGAUGAUCUGUGGGUGCUUCAGCAAGGCUGGAAUCAGGAAGAUUGAA